UACGGGGGGGGCAAGCGUUGUUCGGAAUUACUGGGCGUAAAGGGCGCGUAGGCGGCCUGCUAAGUCGGACGUGAAAUCCCUCGGCUCAACCGGGGAACUGCGUCCGAUACUGGCGAGGCUUGAAUCCGGGAGAGGGAUGUGGAAUUCCAGGUGUAGCGGUGAAAUUCGUAGAUAUUGGGAAGAACACCGGUGGCGAAGGCGGUUUUCUAGCUUAUUCCUGACGCUGAGGCGCGAAAGCAAGGGGGAUCAAAACAGGG
rnacentral:rRNA from 1 species